AUUGAACGCUGGCGGCAUGCUUUACACAUGCAAGUCGGACGGCAGCACAGAGAAGCUUGCUUCUUGGGUGGCGAGUGGCGAACGGGUGAGUAAUAUAUCGGAACGUACCGAGUAAUGGGGGAUAACUAAUCGAAAGAUUAGCUAAUACCGCAUAUUCUCUGAGGAGGAAAGCAGGGGACCUUCGGGCCUUGCGUUAUUCGAGCGGCUGAUAUCUGAUUAGCUAGUUGGUGGGGUAAAGGCCUACCAAGGCGACGAUCAGUAGCGGGUCUGAGAGGAUGAUCCGCCACACUGGGACUGAGACACGGCCCAGACUCCUACGGGAGGCAGCAGUGGGGAAUUUUGGACAAUGGGCGCAAGCCUGAUCCAGCCAUGCCGCGUGUCUGAAGAAGGCCUUCGGGUUGUAAAGGACUUUUGUCAGGGAAGAAAAGGCUGUUGCUAAUAUCGACAGCUGAUGACGGUACCUGAAGAAUAAGCACCGGCUAACUACGUGCCAGCAGCCGCGGUAAUACGUAGGGUGCGAGCGUUAAUCGGAAUUACUGGGCGUAAAGCGAGCGCAGACGGUUACUUAAGCAGGAUGUGAAAUCCCCGGGCUCAACCUGGGAACUGCGUUCUGAACUGGGUGACUAGAGUGUGUCAGAGGGAGGUAGAAUUCUACGUGUAGCAGUGAAAUGCGUAGAGAUGUGGAGGAAUACCGAUGGCGAAGGCAGCCUCCUGGGAUAACACUGACGUUCAUGCUCGAAAGCGUGGGUAGCAAAACAGG
rnacentral:rRNA from 1 species